AACGGCCAUACCAUGCUUGAACAUACCGGUUCUCGUUAGAUCACCGAAGUCAAGCAUCAUUGCGGGCGCGGUCGGUCACUUGGGGUGGGUGACCUCCCUGGGAACACCGCGAGCCGUU